rnacentral:pre_miRNA from 1 species
CAACUACUUCCUCCGUUCGAAAUUACUUGUCGCGGAAAUGGAUGUAUCUACAUGUAUUUUAGUUCUAGAUACAUUCAUUUUGGAGACAAGUAAUUCCGAAGGGAGGGAGUGUGAG